rnacentral:rRNA from 1 species
GACAGAGGGUGCAAACGUUGCUCGGAAUUACUGGGCGUAAAGGGCGUGUAGGCGGGAAGGCAAGUCGGGCGUGAAAGCCCCAGGCUCAACCCUGGGAACUGCACUCGAAACUGCCUUUCUUGAGUGCCGGAGAGGAAAGCGGAAUUCCUGGUGUAGAGGUGAAAUUCGUAGAUAUCAGGAGGAACACCAGUGGCGAAGGCGGCUUUCUGGACGGUAACUGACGCUGAGACGCGAAAGCGUGGGGAGC